rnacentral:tRNA from 1 species
GCGGGAAUAGUUUAAUGGAGGUUUGGUAUCUCCAAUGGAAGAACGCAUGCCUGUUAAGCGUGAUACACAAGUUCGAAUCUUGUUUCCCGCU